rnacentral:rRNA from 1 species
AAAUAUUAUCCGCCAGGAACUACAAGCGCAUUGCUCGAAACCCAACGGACUUGGCGGUGCCCACACCCGCCUAGAGGAGCCUGUUCUGUAACUGACAAUCCCCGUUUAACCUCACCACCCCUAGCUUAAUCAGUCUAUAUACCACCGUCGUAAGCUCACCCUGUGAAGGCCCAAUAGUAAGCAAGAUGGGCACAACCCAACACGUCAGGUCGAGGUGUAGCACAUGGGGCGGGAAGAAAUGGGCUACAUUUUCUGCCCAACAGAAUACCAACGAAUAACGACAUGAAACUGUCGUUUAAAGGAGGAUUUAGCAGUAAAAAGAAAA